GAGCCUGUUCCGGGAUAAUGAGUUCUGCUAAUUCCUCAUAUCUAUGGUUCAACUCCAUAGCAAGCUCU
rnacentral:tRNA from 1 species